rnacentral:lncRNA from 10 species
GGGGCCUGGCAUUCAGGAGGAUUUCUCAGGGCAGGUGACCGCAGCUGGUCUGGAGGAAGGAACAGUGGUUUCUCAUGGGGAGGGAAGGGACAUGGGCUGGGGCGUUCUGGAAGGGGAAAUGCAUAUGCCAAUGGCUGGAGGUGUGAGACGCCUGGGAUGAUUUGUUUGUUUGUUAGUUUGUUGUUAUUUUAUUUAUUAUUAUUUUUUUGAGAUGGAGUGUUGCUCUGUCGCCCAGGCUGGAGUACAAUGGCAUGACCUCGGCUCACUGCAGCCUCCUUCUCCCAGGUUCAAGCGAUUCUUCUGCCUCAGCCUCCAGAGUAGCUGGGAUUACAGGCACGUGCCCAACACACCGGGCUAAUUGUUUGUAUUUUUAGUAGAGACAGGGUUUCACCAGGUUGGCCAGGCGGCUCCCAAACCCCUGACCUCAGGUGAUCCGCUCGCCUCAGCCUCUCAAAGUGCUGGGAUUACAGAGGGGAGCCACCGUGCCCGGCUGCCUUGGAUGUUGAUGGAAAAUCCCCAGCUAUCAAGGAGGGCUGUGGCUUUCCAGUGACCUUGGCCAUUCCUGGACCUCUGUCUACCCACCUUGGAGAAACUCCC